CCAGUGAGAAUGUUACUGCUGCAGUUUCUUAUUGUGACUUCAACAUGGUCCUGUGGAUAUACGCAAAUAACUCUGAUACAAACUCCAUUGUCUGUCACCAGAGCGGUAACUAAAAGUGCAUCUAUGCAGUGUACAGUUUCUGGUUCAGGUUUUAAUUUUAACAAUAAUUAUAUACACUGGUAUCGACAGAGCCCUGGGGCAGCUCCAGAAAGGAUUCUGUAUAUUCAAUCAGGAUCAGCUAUUAUGGAUGAAGGCUUUGAUAAUAAAAAGUUUGAAGCUCAGAAUUUCGCUUCUACAUCCACCUCUAAUCUCAGAGUACAUCAACUAACCCUAAAGGAUGCUGGUGCCUAUUAUUGUGCCGCCUGGAGGGACUAUUACUUCAAAGUAUUUGGCUCAGGCACCAAGCUCUUUGUAACAGUCAGUGAUUUCCCAGAAUUAUUCUUCAGGGGAAUGGGAUUCCGGGUGUGGGUGUCUGUGAGACAGAGACACAGAGAGAGAGAGAGAGAGAGAGAGAGAGAACAAAUAUUCUCAUUUUUUGCAAAGGAUUUGCUCACUGUGAUACUUACUACUACUAGUGGUGGUGUUCUCAUCAAAGUAUUUGGCUCCGGUACCAAGCUCAUUGUAACAGACACACCAGCAAAACUUGAUUCCACCAAGGCUCAGUUCCUGCCUCCUUCUGCUGAACGAGAUGGGAAAGUAUCAUACAUGUGCCUCAUUGAGGAUUUUUACCCAAAUGUUAUUAAGGUGACUUGGGAAGAUGAGGAGAAGAAGAAUGCAGAGAACAAUGCAGUGCACGAGGAAAUUUGGCCCCCUGGUGACAAUCAACAAUCAUACUCAAUAAGCAGCUGGCUGACCAUAGAUAAAAAUAGCAGCAAGAAUUAUAAGUGCACAUAUCAACAUGAACUCAAUGCAAAUUCUGUCUCUAUCAAAUCUCCAGACAAACCUAUAGUGUCUCAAACCACAGGAAGUUGUAUCAACAAACCUGAAAAUGGCACCACACUUUCCACAGAUAUUACAGAGCGUUUCAUGCACAGGACCGCCUAUUUAAUAUACAUUGUCCUACUCCUGAAAAGCACCAUGUACUACGUCAUCGUACUCUUCUUCAUAUACAGGAUGCAAAGUCCAAUCAAACAUCGGGGGAAAAAACCUUAAACUUCUCCUUAUACCUUCCAAUGUCAGCAUUUGUGUCUCAAAUUUACUUUGCUUUGCUAUAAGCCUGAAUAUAUGAAUAUGUAUAUGAAACACCUGGCUCUAAGACACGCAUUUCAAUUUGAUUUUGUUGGUUAAUUUUCUAAUUCGCACAGAUGGUUUCUUCUGCUUAAGAGCGAACAGUUUUAUAUGUGACCAUUUUUCCUAUUUUAUUAUUUUAAUUUUGUAACUGUGGAACUUCAAGGGCUGAGGCUAUACUCCUUGAUUUCAAUGGGAAUUUUGCAUCACAAAGUAGUGCAGAAUCAGUCUCUUAGGCUCUUGUCCUGCAAAAACACUUGUGCACACAAACAACUUUUUGGAUGUGGAUAGGCCAACUGCAUUCAGUGAAGUCAAUGGGAAAACUCGUCCCAGAAAUAUUUGCAGGGGUGGAGUCCUAAUCUGUAACUUUAAAUGAUUUGUCAUUUCAUUUCCACUAAUUACACUUAUUUGCCUUAUAAAAUAAAAACAGGCUUCUGAAAUAUGACUCAAUUUUUUUAAUUGAAAGAUUAAUGGAUUUUAAAUAAAAUUCAG